ACAAGGAGCUAUGGGACUGGGGCGGCUCCUGGAAAGCAACUGCUUGUCCCAAGCCCAGGAUUUUCAAGAGUGGAGGCUCCAGAACAGGGCCAGGGAAAAAGGAACACAUCAGAAUUGAACAGAAAGAUUUGGAUCUGCCUUCAGGAGAGGAGCUGGGAAGAGCUGCACCAUCCAUGUGAGACCAGUGGGCACAAACCAGGGUUCAUCUCUCCCCUCUCCUGGGUCUCCAAUUCCUUGUGGCUGUGGAGAUGCCUCCUCCAAGGUGAGGCAUCUCUCCUGGCUGCAGCAACAGAUUUGGAGCCAGCAGCUCUCACAGGUUCCCCACAGAGCCAGCAGGGGUUAAAAGUGCAACAAAACAGCCCAAAGUCCACACGGGAGGAGGAAGAGGAGGAGGAGAAACGACGGAGAGAUGAGUGGGCAGCCUCCCCCAGCCUGGAAGAUGUGGAGCUUCUCAGCAUCAGGCAGGAAGAGCCGGGCAUCCUCCAGCGCCCCAUGUGCUGCCAUGGUGAAGUUGGUGUCCCCUGAGGUCACCACAUCGAAGACACACGACUGGAAGUAGACAUCCUCCACGGGCAGCAUCUCCCGGCAGAGCGCUCGCGCUGUCUCCGCAGGGACACGGCCGCGCCCGCGGGGGCUGCGGGACAUGCGCUGGCUGUGGGGGCAACCACCCACGCACAGCUGCAGGUCCUGCUCCUCCGUGAAGGCCCGGGCCACCUCCUCGGCAGCACGGAUGGAGAAGGAGAGUUGGCGGCCGGCCUGGCGCACAGCGAUGGUGGUGCCGAUGUAGUCGGCACGGAUCUCCACGUGCCGGCCAGGGCUGCGCUCCCAGAUCACGAGGCUGCUUCCACCCGGACGCAUGCCCCCGUUCACGGAGCCAUCCUGGAAGGCCGCCGGGACGUUGUCCAGCUCGGCCUGGUAGACCUUCUGGUCAAUGCAUUCCUUCAUGUUCUUGAAUAUGAUGCACCAUUUAAGCAAUGGAAAACUCAGGUGGAGCCAAACCCAGCAAGAUUCCUCCAGGUACCCCAUGGACCACACGGUCACCUGACAGCAACAGGAGUGUUUGAAGGUCCCCUCAACAACCUUCCCCACUGUUGUCCCUCCUUCUUCAUCCCCCCUGGGUUUCGUUGAAGUAGUUCCAAGGAUUUUGGGAAGUGUAGGAGGUGCCCUGACUCUGGAUUUGCUGCCCAGCCUGUGCACCAAUGUUACC